UACGAAGGGUGCAAGCGUUACUCGGAAUUACUGGGCGUAAAGCGUGCGUAGGUGGUUCGUUAAGUCUGGUGUGAAAGCCCUGGGCUCAACCUGGGAAUGGCAUUGGAAACUGGCGAUCUAGAGUGCGGUAGAGGGUAGUGGAAUUCCCGAUGUAGCAGUGAAAUGCGUAGAGAUCGGGAGGAACAUCUGUGGCGAAGGCGCCACUCUGGGCCGAAACUGACGCUGAGGAGCGAAAGCAUGGGUAGCAACAGG
rnacentral:rRNA from 1 species